rnacentral:rRNA from 1 species
UACGUAGGGUGCUAGCGUUGUUCGGAAUCAUUGGGCGUAAAGCGCGUGUAGGCGGUUUGGUAAGUUGAGUGUGAAAUCCCUGGGCUUAACCGAGGAAGUGCAUUCAAAAACUACCUGGCUAGAAGACGGUAGAGGAAGGUGGAAUUCCUAGUGUAGAGGUGAAAAUUCGUAGAUAUUAGGAGGAAUACCGGUGGCGAAGGCGGCCUUCUGGACCGAUCUUGACGCUGAGACGCGAAAGCGUGGGGAGCAAACAGG